rnacentral:misc_RNA from 1 species
AUGGAUUGCUUUGAAAAUAUCUGUUGAAACAUGUUUACAUCCAAUUCACUAAAACUGAUAAUUUUGUUGGGAAGUCAAUACACAGCAAAGCGUAAGCAUGCUUAUUAAAUCACUACAUUGAAUUCCAUAUUGGCAACAGUAACACAUAUUCACAUGUAUGCAUACGACAUGGAUGCAAACAUAUAUAUAUACACAUAUAUGCACUGAUGCAGGCAAGAAUAUAGGCAAUACAAUGAUCUAUGAAGCUCUAUAAAACAACUCUUAAAAAAAUGGAUAAUUCAAACAUUGAUUUCAACAAGAAGCAUUUACGAUUCAUAUAUUAUUAUUACAGGAAUUUAAGGCAG